rnacentral:lncRNA from 12 species
GCCAGAACUUGGCCCUCGGACACAGGGGCGGGGCUGAACCGCCUCCCAGCUACUACGCACUGGGGGCAUCUCGCACUGGGGGCAUCUCGGAGGUGCCUUCCGCCUCCGAGGCCUCGGAGUUGAUUUCCUCCUCCAUAAAAACAGGAUCCCCAGGACCUACCUCUCAGGUGAUGCCCCGGAAGGCCAGUUGCUUUUCCUGGGGAGGUGUGCGGGGUGCUGUGCCCGCCCCGAGGAGCCCCUGGGGCAGGUGAGCCGCAGGGAUGCCAAGCAGCCGACUCCCAGCCCCGGAGACGCUCUCC